GAUGAACGCUGGCGGAGUGCCUAACACAUGCAAGUCGAGCGGCAGCGCGAGUAGUUUACUACUUGGCGGCGAGCGGCGGACGGCUGAGUAACGCGUGGGAACAUGCCCCAAAGUGAGGAAUAACUGCCCGAAAGGGUAGCUAAUGCCGCAUACGAUCUUCGGAUUAAAGGAUUUAUCCGCUUUGGGAGUGGCCUGCGUACGAUUAGAUAGUUGGUGAGGUAAUGGCUCACCAAGUCUACGAUCGUUAACUGGUUUGAGAGGAUGAUCAGUCAGACUGGAACUGAGACACGGUCCAGACUCCUACGGGAGGCAGCAGUGAGGAAUCUUCCACAAUGGACGAAAGUCUGAUGGAGCAACUCCGCGUGCAGGAUGAAGGCCUUCGGGUCGUAAACUGCUUUUAUGAGUGAAGAAU
rnacentral:rRNA from 1 species